UACGUAGGGUGCGAGCGUUGUCCGGAAUUAUUGGGCGUAAAGAGCUUGUAGGCGGUCUGUCGCGUCUGCUGUGAAAAUCCGGGGCUCAACCCCGGACUUGCAGUGGGUACGGGCAGACUAGAGUGUGGUAGGGGAGACUGGAAUUCCUGGUGUAGCGGUGAAAUGCGCAGAUAUCAGGAGGAACACCGAUGGCGAAGGCAGGUCUCUGGGCCAUAACUGACGCUGAGAAGCGAAAGCAUGGGGAGCGAACAGG
rnacentral:rRNA from 1 species